rnacentral:rRNA from 1 species
CUCGUAGGCGGUUUGUUAAGUCGGAUGUGAAAGCCCCGGGCUCAACCUGGGAACUGCAUUCGAUACUGGCAAACUAGAGUAUAGAAGAGGCAAGUGGAAUUCCAGGUGUAGCGGUGAAAUGCGUAGAUAUCUGGAGGAACAUCAGUGGCUAAGGCGACUUGCUGGUCUAAUACUGACGCUGAGGAGCGAAAGCGUGGGGAGCAAACAGGAUUAGAUACCCUGGUAGUCC